ACUGGGCGUGGUGGCGUGCGCCUGUAACUGAGCUACUACGGAGCAGGUAGUGUCGAAUGACUUGAGAUCGGGACUCCUGUCGUACGUCGACCUAUGUCGAUCGGGUGUCCACACUAAGUUGGGCGUCAAUAUGGUGAACUGAGGGGAACCAUCGUCCACCAGGUUGAAUAAAGAGGAACGUACCGGUCCAGGAUGGAAACAUAGCAGACAAAAGUUCCCGCGUCAAAUAGUGGUGGGAUAGCACUUGUGAAUAGGAGGCGUACGACAGCCCGGUCAAGAUAGUUGAACCCGCUACCAUUUUC
rnacentral:SRP_RNA from 1 species